AGGACUCUGCCGGCACCUUAUGAGAAAUCAGGAGGGCACCACCAGGAGUGGAGCUGCGGCUUAAUUUGACUCAACAUGGGGAAACUUACUAGGUCCAGACAUAGUAAGGAUUGACAGACUGAGAGCUCUUUCUUGAUUUUAUGGGUGGUGGUGCAUGGCCGUUCUUAGUUGGUGGAGCGAUUUAUCUGGUUAAUUUCGUUAACGAAUGAGACCUCAGCCUGCAAACUAGCUAUGCGGAGGUACCCUCCACGGCCAGCUUCUUAGAGAGACUAUGGCCGUUUAGGCCACGUAAGUUUGAGGCAAUAACAGGUAUGUGAUGGGGAUAGAUCAUUGCAAGUGUUGGUCUUCAACGAGGAAUUCCUAGUAAGCGCGAGUCAUCAACUCGCGUUGACUACGUCCCUGCCCUUUGUACACAUCGCCCCUCGCUCCUACCGAUUGAAUGGUCCAGUGAAGUGUUCGGAUUGCUGCGACGCGGGCGGUUCGCCUCUGGCGACGUCGCGAGAAGUCCACUAAACCUUAUUAUUUAGAGGAAGGAGAAGUCGUAACAAGGUUUCCGUAGGUGAACCUGCGGAAN
rnacentral:ncRNA from 1 species